CAGGGAGACAAUAGAGGGAUGUGACAAAGUGAGUGGCUGGCAUGAGGGUGGGGGCUGUUUCUGAUGUCGUCCUCAGAGUAGACUUCUUGGAAGAGAGCUAACAAAUGAAGAGCCCAGGGAAGAUGACUCCAGGCAGAGAGAAAAGCAAAUGUUAAGGUCCUGAGGUGGGAAAGAAAUUGUCGUGUUCCGGAUGCAGAAAGCAAGCUGAGUGAAGGGAAUAAGUGGAGUUGGUUAAAAAAGGUGGAUGGGAGCCAGGCUCAUGCAGCACCUUUUGGCCAAGGGAAGGCAUUCAAUGGUGUUAUGCAAGAGAUAGCUUAGUGAUCGAUGUUGGAAAAGACCCCUCUGGCUUCUGUCUGCAGGGCGAGACUGAAAGCAGGACCUUCAGUCAGGAGGCUACUCCCGGCAUCCAAGCAAGUGAUGGUGGCAGAAUGGUGGAGGUGGAGGUCGAGAGAGGGCAGAUCGGAGAUCUAUUUUGGAGCUCUUCACACUGCAAAUAAAGUGGCUGUGGAUAUUCACAUGCUGUGGCCGUGCACUGAAGAAAAAGUUCUCGGACACUAGACUGAGCAGACAUGCAGGGCUGCCUCCGGAGACAGCAGCAGCAGCAACAGAACAGGGGUUGCAGAGGAAGGGGCAAGCAUCUGGGUAUCGACAAAGAACACCUUAGGUGAUGUGAAGCAGAGAGACGUCAUCAUUUUGAAGACUGCAUUGGGAAACAAAAUCAUGACUAAUACUAUAAUAGUAGGAAACCAAGAAUGAAGAUUGAACGCAGAGAACCAGUUUUUGGGGUUGAUCCAAUGAGAAAAGUCAUUGACAGCAUCAAUCACUGCUUGUUGGUUUUCCCGUUGAA